GGCCAGACUCCUACGGGAGGCAGCAGUGGGGAAUAUUGCACAAUGGGGGAAACCCUGAUGCAGCGACGCCGCGUGAGUGAAGAAGUAAUUCGUUAUGUAAAGCUCUAUCAGCAGGGAAGAAACAGACGGUACCUGACUAAGAAGCCCCGGCUAACUACGUGCCAGCAGCCGCGGUAAUACGUAGGGGGCAAGCGUUAUCCGGAGUUACUGGGUGUAAAGGGGGCGCAGACGGCAGCGCAAGCCAGGAGUGAAAGCCCGGGGCCCAACCCCGGGACUGCUCUUGGAACUGCGGGGCUGGAGUGCAGGAGGGGCAGGCGGAAUUCCUGGUGUAGCGGUGAAAUGCGUAGAUAUCAGGAGGAACACCGGUGGCGAAGGCGGCCUGCUGGACUGCAACUGACGUUGAGGCCCGAAAGCGUGGGGAGCAAACAGGAUUAGAUACCCUCGUAUAC
rnacentral:rRNA from 1 species